rnacentral:rRNA from 1 species
UACAGAGGUGGCAAGCGUUGUUCGGAAUUACUGGGCGUAAAGGGCGCGUAGGCGGCCUUCUUAGUCGGACGUGAAAUCUCCAGGCUCAACUUGGGAACUGCGUCCGAUACUGGAUGGCUUGAGUGCGGGAGAGGGAUGUGGAAUUCCAGGUGUAGCGGUGAAAUGCGUAGAUAUCCGGAGGAACACCAGUGGCGAAAGCGGCCACCUGGGCUGUACCUGACGCUGACACGCGAAAGCUAGGGGAGCGAACGGG